GCUGUGAUGGCCGACUGGUUAAGGCGUUGGAUAUGAAAUCCACUGGGGUCUCCCCGCACAGGUUCGAACCCUGCUUGCAGCG